AUUGAACGCUGGCGGCAGGCCUAACACAUGCAAGUCGAGCGGAUGAGGGGAGCUUGCUCCUGGAUUCAGCGGCGGACGGGUGAGUAAUGCCUAGGAAUCUGCCUGGUAGUGGGGGAUAACGUCCGGAAACGGGCGCUAAUACCGCAUACGUCCUGAGGGAGAAAGUGGGGGAUCUUCGGACCUCACGCUAUCAGAUGAGCCUAGGUCGGAUUAGCUAGUUGGUGGGGUAAAGGCCUACCAAGGCGACGAUCCGUAACUGGUGUGAGAGGAUGAUCAGUCACACUGGAACUGAGACACGGUCCAGACUCCUACGGGAGGCAGCAGUGGGGAAUAUUGGACAAUGGGCGAAAGCCUGAUCCAGCCAUGCCGCGUGUGUGAAGAAGGUCUUCGGAUUGUAAAGCACUUUAAGUUGGGAGGAAGGGCAGUAAGUUAAUACCUUGCUGUUUUGACGUUACCAACAGAAUAAGCACCGGCUAACUUCGUG
rnacentral:rRNA from 1 species